rnacentral:lncRNA from 1 species
AAUAUUGAAGCAAACGUUGGUGAUAAUAUUGGAACAAAUACAGAAGUAAAGAAGGAAAUAAGUCAGUGUUUUUGCUAUUAGAUAUUUGUUAAUAGGAAUUUG